AGUGAACGCUGGCGGUAGGCCUAACACAUGCAAGUCGAGCGGCAGCACAGUAAGAGCUUGCUCUUACGGGUGGCGAGUGGCGUACGGGUGAGGAAUACAUCGGAAUCUACUUUUUCGUGGGGGAUAACGUAGGGAAACUUACGCUAAUACCGCAUACGACCUACGGGUGAAAGCAGGGGAUCUUCGGACCUUGCGCGAUUGAAUGAGCCGAUGUCGGAUUAGCUAGUUGGCGGGGUAGAGGCCCACCAAGGCGACGAUCCGUAGCUGGUCUGAGAGGAUGAUCAGCCACACUGGAACGGAGACACGGUCCAGACUCCUACGGGAGGAAGCAGUGGGGAAUAUUGGACAAUGGGCGCAAGCCUGAUCCAGCCAUACCGCGUGGGUGAAGAAGGCCUUCGGGUUGUAAAGCCCUUUUGUUGGGAAAGAAAAGCAGCAGGUUAAUACCACGCUGUUCUGACGGUACCCAAAGAAUAAGCACCGGCUAACUUCGUG
rnacentral:rRNA from 1 species